rnacentral:rRNA from 1 species
AUUGAACGCUGGCGGCAGGCCUAACACAUGCAAGUCGAACGAGUGGCGGACGGGUGAGUAAUGUCAGGGAAACUGCCUGAUGGAGUGGGAUAACUGCUGGAAACUGUAGCUAAUACCGCAUACCAUCGGAUGUGCCCAGAUGGGAUUAGCUAGUAGGUGGGGUAAAGUCUCACCUAGGCGACGAUCCCUAUCUGGUCUGAGAGGUUGACCAGCCACACUGGAACGGAGACACGGUCCAGACUCCUACGGGAGGCAGCAGUGGGGAAUAUUGCACAAUGGGCGCAAGCCUGAUGCAGCCAUGCCGCGUGUAUGAAGAAGGCCUUCGGGUUGUAAAGUACUUUCAGCGGGGAGGCGUUACCCGCAGAAGAAGCACCGGCUAACUCCGUGCCAGCAGCCGCGGUAAUAC